GACGCUCUGAGGUGAAAGCGUGUUCAUCUUUCCUUUUUUCAGCAGCACCUAAGGCGAAAAUGUAUAGCAGCAUCCUCCUUGUGUGAAUUAAUCUCGAGACGAACUGUUUUAAUAAGCAAAAUGUACGAUUGAACUCGUCCGGAAAUGCCGACCAGUUGUGACCCGGUUUGGACUAAGUCUUUAAACGUUUACCAACGUUUCAGGUGUGAUUAUCUGCAGAAGCUUAACGAGUUACAAAAUCCGAUUUCCUGGCGGUAUUUGUAAAGCGCAUUUGACAAGAUAAAGAAGAUGACAUUUAAAGGAGAAGCAUCAAUCAGUCACCGAGCAAAAGGAUGGAAACGACGUCAAUACUCACCGGUAUUCCCACCGUCAUCUUUCCUACGAAGUGUACAAAUGAUCCUCAGCUGGAACAACACCUACGGGAACGAAUUCGAUGGUGGUGGUCUAGUUGCAG